rnacentral:rRNA from 1 species
AAUCAACGCUGGCGGCGUGCCUCAGACAUGCAAGUCGAACGAUUAAGACUUCCUUCGGGAAGUGUAUAAAGUGGCGCACGGGUGAGUAACACGUAAGUAAUCUACCUUCGAGUGGGGAAUAACGUUCGGAAACGAACGCUAAUACCGCAUAAUGCAGCGGCAUCGCAAGAUGACAGUUGUUAAAGGAAUUUAUUUCGCUUGAAGAGGAGCUUGCGGCAGAUUAGCUAGUUGGUAAGGUAACGGCUUACCAAGGCUACGAUCUGUAUCCGGUCUAAGAGGACGGUCGGACACACUGACACUGAAUAACGGGUCAGACUCCUACGGGAGGCAGCAGUCGGGAAUUUUGGGCAAUGGGCGAAAGCCUGACCCAGCAACGCCGCGUGAAGGAUGAAGUAUUUCGGUAUGUAAACUUCGAAAGAAUGGGAAGAAUAAGUGACGGUACCAUUUAUAAGCUCCGGCUAACUACGUGCCAGCAGCCGCCGUAAAAC